UACGUAGGGGGCAAGCGUUGUCCGGAUUUAUUGGGCGUAAAGAGCGCGUAGGCGGCCCGAUAAGUCCGCUGUGAAAGUCCAGGGCUCAACCCUGGAAUGCCAGUGGAUACUGUCGGGCUAGAGUGCGGAAGAGGCGAGUGGAAUUCCUGGUGUAGCGGUGGAAUGCGCAGAUAUCAGGAGGAACACCAAUAGCGAAGGCAGCUCGCUGGGACGUUACUGACGCUGAGGCGCGAAAGCGUGGGGAGCAAACAGG
rnacentral:rRNA from 1 species